rnacentral:rRNA from 1 species
UAUGUGAUCGUCUCUCGCAUAUCAAUAAGCGGAGGAAAAGAAAUUAACAAGGAUUCCCCUAGUAACGGCGAGUGAAGCGGGAAGAGCUCAAAUUUGAAAUCUUAAAGGGUUUCCCUUUACGAAUUGUAGUUUAAAGAAGUGUUUUCUGUUGAGGCUUUGGUAAAAGUUCUUUGGAAUAGGACAUCAUAGAGGGUGAGAAUCCCGUAUUUGACCUUUACUUUCAACUUUGUGAUACACUUUCAAAGAGUCGGAUUGUUUGGGAAUGCAGUCCAAAAUGGGUGGUAAAUUUCAUCUAAAGCUAAAUAUUGGCGAGAGACCGAUAGCGAACAAGUACCGUGAGGGAAAGAUGAAAAGAACUUUGAAAAGAGAGUUAAACAGUACGUGAAAUUGUCAAAAGGGAAGCGUUUGACACCAGUGUUGUUUUUCUGAAAAUCAAUUAAAGAACUGUUUAUGCUAAGUUGUUUAGACUUUAUCAGCUAACUGUUUAGUUUUGAGCUUUUCUUUAAUGCACUUUUCAGUUAACAAGUCAACAUCAAUUUCUUUUGCUGUAAAAAAGCUUGAGGAAGGUGGCUUGAGAUUCGUCUUAAGUGUUUAUAGCCUCUUGCCUAUGCAGUCGGAGAGAUUGAGGUCUGCAGCGUAGAUCCUUCGGGGCUAAAUGCAUUUGUGCUAAGUUAUAGCAUUUUAUAGACAACUUGUUGACUAUGAUUUGUCUUGUAGCUUACUCGCUUAUGUUAUUUUACCUACGCUUAGGAUGUUGAUCUACAGAGCGAGAGU